GCAAAGGAGAUUCUGGAGGAGCCACAACCAAAAGUGAAACCAGGAGAUCUGGUGUACGCUAAAGUGUUCAGGAGGAAGUGGGACCACGCCAGACGAGAAGGUCCCUACAUGGUGGUCAAAGCAACUGCAAGAGCGGUUCAAGUUCAAGGAUCCCCCACCUGGUACCACCUGAAUCACUGUGUUAAAGUACCUGAGGGGGAAAUAGGGAAGGGAGCCAAAGAAGAACGAGAUGAAGAAGGGCAAGACAAAAGGAGGGAUCUUAUCCCUCCUGUUGCUUGUAGUGAUGUUGGACGAGAUGCAGGUGCCUCGCCAUCCAGGGUUCAUCAGGGUCCAUUGAGAAAGGAGAAAGGAAAGAGGAGAGUUAAGAGAGAUGUGAUCCAAUGGCGUGAAGAAGGUGUUCCAGUGCAGGGGUGGCCAGGCCCCCUAGAUUGGGUUUCAAACGACAUCAACUGGAAGUACACCCCGGGGAGAUGUGGAGCGCUCAACUAAAGAAAAGAGAGUGGGAUGACAGUAGUGAGCGUACGGGUAUUUUUGUGUAUGUUAACUCUGACCUACACGGGACAGGCUACGACUGCGGGUUAGAUGAUGUUAGGAAUGUAAAUUCCAGUAAUUAUGUUCUCUUUCCCAGGGGAGUAGGAAGGUGCGCCAUUGGAGUAAAGGAAAGUGAGCAGAAUGGAAGCAAGUUCUGGGAUGUUAAAGUAGCAUUCCGGCCACCUCAAUGCUGUUUGGACCAGGACGUGAGAGUAACAUGGAUAAAGGUUAUGAAAACAUACCAAGAAAGGCUUGUUGCUUUUCUGCGGCCUCCACGAAUAAUGUCUAAUGUGCCUUGUUCACUCAGCCUAGCCAAGCCGCCUCUGCCUCCUGCGCCACCUCUGCCUCCUGUGUCUAAGAAUGAACAAACGGAUCCAGGAAUCCCCGACUUCAUUGGAAAUUGGGGGUUAGAAUCAAAUAGCACCGAUUUACAUCUUUUCUUUUCUGGUUGGGUACAGAAGGUGACCUCAGGGGCAUCCGACUGGGCCGGUAGGAUGAUGACCGGAAUGCGAGAAACAUGGUGGGGACCUGAGGACGAGGGUGAGCCUGGGGAAAAGGAAGAGACGUUAGAUGGGCGUUUCCAGAAUAGUUGGUACAGUAGCGCUUAGAGCCGUGACCAAGCAGAAUUUGCAGAUGGCAGUUAUUGAGCUGGGAGAAAAGUAUGGGUGGAAGAGUGUAGGAAACGAGGAAGGUGAUGUGUUUCCAGUUCCGGAAUGGAUCCACAUCACGACUCUAGACGAGGACAAGGACGAAGACAAGGACGAGGAUGAAGACUCCCAGUUGGUGUGAUGUUGAAAACGGCCUACGAUACGUCAUGAAGGAAAAAAAAAAAAAAAAGACUAAUCAUACUGAAAAUGAGCUAAGAUGGUUGUUUAAUGAAUUUUAAUACUGAUGUUUUAUUAGUUGUAAUAGUCAGAUUUAUCCUUGUAUUAAUAGUAGUGUUAGAAAUGUAUCAUAUCCUUGUGUUAGCAGUAGUAUUAGAAAUGACACAGUAGUAACCAACUUAUAUAGGUCUCAUGAUCCCUUUAUUGUUUCAUUGUGUUUAAUUGACCUGCUAUGAGGGUCUAAGAGUGUGAACUUGUCAGUAAUUUGUUUUUGUGUUUAUUUUUAGAGGCAGGUACCGGAUUCACCUGUGAAACAUUCGGAGGUCAUCAAGCUGGCUGCCCUGAAAAGUCCUGCAUUAGCAGUAGGAUAAAUUUGGCUAUUUUAAUUGAUUUAUGUGUCCACAUUGCUAAGGUAAAAUGAAACUUAAAAUGGGUUGGGACCUUGCUAGUGCUUAUCACUGGUUUAAGGCGGUAAAGUAAAUUGGGCUUAGUUUUAAUGGACAUUUGUCUGUCCAUUGAGGGGAAAGUUUGUGGUAAAUUCUGUUCCUCCUAUAGAGUUAUUUCUGUCCAUUGCAACAAAUGUCAAGUUGACCGAGGUGUCAGAUUGGCCACUAAAACAAAUACGCUGCUGCAGCUGAGUAAACAUGGACUUUCGAUUGACACGUAGGCACUUGCUGGUUGCAUAAACAACACAGCUUUAAAAAGUGGGCAUUGGGAGAUGUUUCUUAGAGUGCUUCGCAGAGGGUCUGCUGCAGACACCCAGCUGACCUUUUUCUUCUUUUCAAAAGAAACUUUUUCAAACCUCUCAGUUUGUUCUGCAGACGAACCUCCAGGUGAAUUCGGCCACCACCUCUCUCAUGAUAAUUCUGUAAUUGUACUAUUUCAUUAUGUGUAAUAAAUUAAUUUGUUAAUUUGAGCA
rnacentral:lncRNA from 1 species